rnacentral:lncRNA from 1 species
AAUGUAUGGGGAAACUCUUGAUUCAGAAUAUUUUUUUUAUCAUCUGUAUGACCAUUUUUUGUUUUAUCAAUUUGGGGAUCGGAAUAUUUCCAUUUGAAGUCAAAUGGUUGUUCCCUUACCGCUAGAAAAAUUUUCCAAAAAUUUUGAAUUCAGUUCUACGUAAUGAACAUUUAAAUGACAUAUAGUUUACAAGUGGGAACAAAUCUUAUGUACAGGUAGCUAAACAAGUGUAUAUAGAUGUGAACAAAUGUAAUGUGAAACCAGUGUACACUACACUAAACUAAUUGUAAACAUGUUUACUCUACACGGCGUUUGGUGUGAACACGGCC